rnacentral:rRNA from 1 species
UACAGAGGCCCCAAGCGUUAGGCGGAAUCACUGGGCUUAAAGCGUGUGUAGGCGGACUUCUAAGUACCUUGUGAAAUCCCACGGCUUAACCGUGGAACUGCUUGGUAUACUGGUCGUCUUGAGCCACUUAGGGGCUACCGGAACAAAUGGUGGAGCGGUGAAAUGCGUAGAUAUCGGGAGGAAUACCUAUGGCGAAAGCAGGCUACUGGACCAUCACUGACGCUGAUCUGCGAAAGCUAGGGGAGCAAACAGG